rnacentral:rRNA from 1 species
GACGAACGCUGGCGGCGCGCUUAACACAUGCAAGUCGAGCGAAGCGGCGGACGGGUGAGUAACACGUGAGUAACCUGCCUUAGACAUUGGGAUAGCCUCGGGAAACCGGGAUUAAUAACAAAUGGUCUAAGAUGGACUCGCGUCCAAUUAGCUAGUUGGUGAGGUAACGGCCCACCAAGGCGACGAUGGGUAGCCGGCCUGAGAGGGUGAACGGCCACAUUGGAACUGAUAAAAGGUCCAAACUGUACUGGAGGCAGCAGUGGGGAAGAUUGCACAAUGGAGGGAACUCUGAUGCAGCGACGCCGUGUGAACGAAGAAGGCUUUAGAGUCGUAAAGUUCUUUUAUAUGGGAAGCGGUACCAUAAGAAAAAGCCCCGGCUAACUACGUGCCAGCAGCCGCGGUAAUAC